GGUCGGACGGUAGAGUCAGUUAUCAGGUAGCAUGAGUGUACUAAUAACGUUAUUGAGUAUCUCAAUAACCUCGGACUUCGUGAAGAAAAAUACCUCCAGCGAGACAGUGCUCUUGAAGUAUGAUCACUUCACCCGGAGAUGUGAGCUGACCGAAGACAAAUGCAGCAUUGGUUCCCUGGAACUCGAGUUCAAGAUUUGUUCGGCAAUUAUCCAACUGCUGCGGAGCUCACCCCGCUAUCUCCCUUGACUGGCCAAUCAGAUAAGAUGAAAUCAGGAAGUUGUCUGAUGCAAGCCCGCCCUCCACCUCCAUUCGCCCGGCAGCAACGUUCAACAUUCAGACAUCGGCGUUCCCUACGCUACCAAGAAUCACGGUCACCUCACUGCAGCCUCUCCCAGCUCCCUGGGCAGGUCACUCCCAGCAACAGCCUUUGUCUCCGACCCAGCAGUCUGUUACGUACCCUUAUAAGAUACAGUCGACCUGGGACUGCUGUAACGAGCGUUGGAUCAGUCUACCCAAGGCACCCGUCUUG
rnacentral:misc_RNA from 1 species